GCUUCCGUAGCUCAGUUGGUUAGAGCUUCGUACUAAUACUUGCUCUUCCGAGCAAUUCUUGGUGAUGCGGAGGCCGCAGGUUCAAGCCCUGCCGGGAGCA
rnacentral:tRNA from 1 species